rnacentral:rRNA from 1 species
UACGUAGGGUGCGAGCGUUAAUCGGAAUUACUGGGCGUAAAGCGUGCGCAGGCGGUUCGUUAAGUCAGCUGUGAAAGCCCCGAGCUUAACUUGGGAAUUGCGGUUGAAACUGGCGGACUAGAAUCUGGCAGAGGGGGGUGGAAUUCCACGUGUAGCAGUGAAAUGCGUAGAGAUGUGGAGGAACACCGAUGGCGAAGGCAGCCCCCUGGGCUGAGAUUGACGCUCAGGCACGAAAGCGUGGGGAGCCAAACAGG